AAAUUGGGAAUUGAGAAUGAGAUUGGUGCAAGCAUUACCCGGGUGGAGACUAGAUUAGUUAGUCAUCAUCAAUAGUCUCGGAUGAUAAUUGAAGUGACAUGGCUGACUUUGUGGAAAUCCUCUCCUGAUGCCGAUACCCUCUUCCCAUUUCCGCCAUUAAAUUCAGUUUCCGAAGAGUAGAAAUGCCACUCAAACCAUCUGGAAGCAUCUUCAGACUGGAACAAUCAUAGAUCCAAUUCAAGAGAAGGGGCAUGGCUCCUGCCUCCACUCUCCACUCCCUCAACUUUGGUAAAUAGCACAAGCACUUGAGGCGAGGAAAACUGUUUGAUGGACACGUCAUCUCCUCCCCCACAAAUGAUUUCCAUAAAACAAAUUAUCAAGCAAGGAAGCUUCCCCAGUAUCCCCAUUGGAUCAUCCUCAAUCUCACAUUUGACAGGACCAAAGUUAAAGUUUGACUGAUGAAGUCACUCCCGCACUCUGCCAGCGCCUUCCCUAACUUAACUUCAAUCCACAAGGAAUGAAGAUUGGGACAUGUGAUUACCUUCUUCAGCGUUAACACUCCCUAUUUGUUCCUAACUUGCAACCCUUUUUGAUUUCAACCAACAAUACAGUAACUUUUCCAUGAGAGCAAUGGCGUCGAUGUGGCUGACAAGCUUUCAUUGUCGUGUAUUUUUGUUCUGAAACUUCGCAGAUUCUUCAUUCUGUUCAUACAUUUUAUAUCAUGCACUCUACUAUCCAAAUUCCACAGGGUCUCCAACUCAAUCACUCCCUCGUCCAAUGUCAAUCGAUAACUUCCAAUUUUUUCCUCAUCAUAAUCGGGAAGAAACAAGUGCUUUAAACGUACCAUCUCCUUAAAAACAUUUGGAACUUCAAAUUCAUCGAAUCAGUUAAAUCAAGGGUAUCCAUGUAUACCAAAUUCCUUAUGGACGAUGGUAGCUUAUCAAAAUCACAUCUUUUUAAAUACAAACGUCUAAGGUGAACAAGACUAGCGAUUCCUUUCGAUAACUUUCUUCCUUCAAAUUUGAAUCCCACCAUAACUAGAUCUCUCAGCAAUUUGAAUUUCUGAAAAUCAACAUACCUUGCGGGGGAAACUCAACAAUAACACCCGAAUUAUGUGAUUGAAAUUUGAAGAGACCUUAAAUGUUCGCUACUAUCUUCUCCCCAAGUGACUGUAAGUUCGUCAGGUUCCACUUGAACUUCUUUCCUGAAAUAUAUAGCCAAAUGCCGUAUUUUCCUAUGCGAGGAAGCUUGCCAUAGUUUCCCCUUUGAUACUCCAAACUCUGCACACCAAAAUCCUCACUUCUCCCCAAUUUCAAACAAGUUCUCUUACUACAUCAUGAAGUUUGCAGCUCAAUAUUUCUUCCAGGUGGACACCAUCGAAAAUUUCGACUUGGACGAUGGACCUGGAGGCCAACUCACCCAAGUAGAGCUCUGCAAUUUCCAUCAAAGUUUUGUCCUUGUCUCCAAUAGAAAUCAUGCCUUGUGCUAUCCACAUCAUAUAUAGAUCGUCACAUUAUAUCUUCAUCCUCUUGAAAUAUACCCAUAUAGAGAAAGCAUGACUUCAAAUAAUAGGGUAGACUUUCAUAGCUUAAAUUUAGCACUCCAUCAAUCUCCUUUUCAUCUCUAUAUAUGAAUUCUUUGACUAACUUCCACUCCAUCAUCGAAUUUGUCUUUCUCAAGACCCCACCGAGUAAACAAAUUGCCAACGGCAAAUACCCACAUUCUUCACCAUUUCUUUCCCAAUUUCUCAACAUUUUCCAGAAACUCUGCAUCUUUCCCAAUUUUCUCAACAUUUUCUUCCAAUGCAAACUCUGCAUUGAAAAACAAAUGACAAUUACUUGAAUAGUAACUUUAUAACUUAAUCAUAUCCUCUCAUCUAAUUUGGACCGAUGAUGCAAAAAAGAAACUACAAGCAGGUAAAUCUAGAAUAUUAUUUGUAGACUAGAAGUCAAAUCCAACUAACCUGGAAUGUUGGUGUGGGGAAAUGCUUUCUUCUUGAGUAGUUCCAAAGCAUCUUCCUCUUUUAGAAGCCCAAGUUUGACAGGGCAUCCAAUCUCCGCGACUUCCGUUGCGCGUGGUGAUCAAGAUUUUGCUCUGCAAAUCUUGGACAAGGAAGGGAUGCUUGAAGCAUCCCAAUAGAAUUCCAAAGAUCGUCAAAAACAAUGAGCAUCGCUUCUCUCUUUGUAUCUUGCAUAGUCGCUCCUUCAACUCCACUCGUCAAACUUGUAACAUCCUCCCUUAUUUUUGGCCCAUCCUUCGUGUUUUGAUGCUGUAGCUGCAUGAGAACAUCAUUCCAAACUGAUUGAAAACUCUGACAUUGCUGACUAAUGCAAACCCAGCGAAAGAUCAAAGCUGGUGUUGGUCUCGUUGUAGAGCUUUUUGGCAAUGGUGGUCUUGCCUGAUCCCCCCAUUCCCCACACUGAAAUUAUUCGAUGCUUUUCGUCUUCCACUAGGAGAUGAAGAAGCUGCUUGAGCUCGUCCUUCAUCCCCACAAAACAUCUCCGAUCUCGAAUUCGGGGAAACUCUUCCUUGCCUGUUGUUGGCGGACGAGCUUUCCCCUUCAUCUGUAUUGUUGAUGAUGCUCUUCUUUAUGCCACUUUCUAACAUUUCCUUGUUUAUCCUUUCAAGUCGGGAUUUGAUCGGUGAAAUCUCCGAGCCUAAUUGGUGGAUCGACUUGUAUUCUUCCAAACUACAACUACAUCUGCGGAGAGCUGUUGAGGCCUCGUUUCUCCUUGAAGUCACUUGAUAAGCUGCGUGUCUUUCAAUGGCAGCUUCUGCUCUGUACACAAGAUCUUUGAUCUCUGAGAUCCAAUUGAAAAUGGUUUCAUUUUCAUGUCGUCUUCUGUCGGCAUCUUUGAGAAGACACUUCAUCUCUUUGAGCUGGAUCUCGAGCUCCUUCACUUGGUCACCCACACCAGAUAAAAAUCUUGCUUCAUCCACCAACAAAUCGCGCAAGGUUUCCAGAGCAGUCGACACAGCAGCUUCUGCCAUCGCAACAAUUCCAAGCUCGAAUUUCUUUGGUCAAACUGAUUUAUUCCGGAACAGAGAGAUGUGUGAGGAAAAAGGGAGAGGUUUAACUUUCGUUGGUGGGGAAAAGUGUGAAAGUAGUUUUGGUUAUGAGAAAGCACAUUAUCUUAAUUAACUCCACUUGUUUUUGGAUUCUACCUUCAAUAAAGAAUAGGCAAUAAAAAUACUUAUUUGAUGUCACGACAGCAACUCUUCAGACCAUUUCUCAACCACUCUGACGACCAAAACUCAAUAAUAUGGUAUAAAAAAUGAUAACGUAAUUCAUCAUUAGCUGGCAUAAUGAAUUGUUGUGAGUAAUUAAGGCGCUUUAAGCCAAUAAGAGUUGAUUAAUGUUAUUAAUACAAAUAAUUUAGCCUAUGAUAUGAACUAAACAUCAUAAGAUGGUAGUUUCCUGUCACCUUUUGCUAAGUUAUGACAUAUAUUACGUUUUAAGAAAUGUCUAGAGCUAGCUAUGACAUGUAAACAAAUUAAUAUUAUUCAUGGCAUUUUCUAAGCCAAAUAUUGAGCACAUAUCAACAGUAACGAACUCUAGAUAACUAUGCUGAGGUAUGUUUUUACUUUUUGGUUUUUUAGCUUAAUUAGAGAUGGCAGAUACAAUAUAUUUCGUCGUUCAUACCCUACUAUUAGCUGUUGAAGAGUAAUUAAAAUUCUAAUAAGAAAUCUAUGUUUAUCGCUUUAAAUGACUUCGAAACCAAUAUAUGAUAGAUUUUGGGACAUUGUAUACGCGUUUCAGAAAGCCAACUUGUCUUUAUAUUAAUUAUUAUAAUAAUUUUAUUGCUGUAGUAAAAUCCCAACUUGCAGUUUGUUUGAAGCAGUCAACAUAUUGAAGUAUGGAGUAGAAUAGUUUUUUUUUGAAGGAAAACAAAAGAUGCUUUUCUGUCUGUCAUUUUGAUUGAAGGGCUGGUCUUGGGUGCGACCGUCGCACAGUGUGCGACGGGUCCGCCCCGGCCCGUGCCCGACCCGGCCAGCAAUCCAGACCUGCAAUCCUAAAUCCUAAAUUAUUACAUUUGUUUAUAAUAAUUAUUACUUUUAAUAAGCAUGAAAUAUACAUUUGUUCGCACAAAUGUAUACUUAUAUAAAUAUAGGUAUUUUCCUUCAUUUAAUAUACAAUAUUAUAUUUUUUAAACCCUAAAUUCUAUAAACUAAACCCUAAACCCUGUAAACUAAACCCUAAGCGUGAACACUAAACCCUAAUAGGUGAAAACUAAACCCUAAGCAUAAGAUAUACAUUUGGUCGCACAAAUGUAUACUUAUAUUAAUAUAAAUAUUUACCUUCAUUCAAUAUAAAACAUUAUACAUAUCAAUAUACAUUUAUAUGAACAAAUGUAUAUAUUAUGUUUAUUAAAAGUAACAGUUGUUAUACACAAAUGUAAUAAUUAGGAGUAUGGGUCAAACCCACGCGGGUCAGGGUUCCGGGUCAGGAGGGCGGGUUUGGGCCGGGUCGACCCAGUCGCACACCUGUGCGACCGUCGCACAGGAGAAUUAGCGCUGAUUGAAUAUUUGCUGAUAAUAAGAAUUAUUUAUGAGCAGACUUAGAUGGUGUUCGGUUCCUUAAAGAAGAUAAUAGUGAGAUGUCGUAAUAUGAGGAUUGAAUCUUGGCCAAGAAAUGGUGUUUUUUUGGAUAGUUAACUUUUAUAUAAUUGAACAUAUGUGGUUCGUCGUUUUACACCAAAAAUAUCCGACAAACAAUCGGUAUGCCCUUACUGCGUAGACAGUAGCAAGCAAAAUCAUCUUCCAAGGGAUCGGCGAGAAUUCUAAACAGCAAAGCAACAAAAGUGACAAUUAAGAAAAGAAAUAAAGUUUAAAAUCUCGUGUAGAAAUUACAAAUAAAUUAAAGAAUCGGGGCAAACCUCAUUAAUUAAAACAAUGUAAAGAAAUCUCUAGUAGAAAAAAGAUUCCUUAUCAAAACUCUAAAUCUUAAACUCAUAAUAUUAUCAUAUACUAUCAAUUAUCCAUAAAUAUAAUAAGAGAUGUCAUAAUAAAAGUCAAAGACAAAAGAGUAUCUUAAUUCACACGAAUACAUUAUUGUAAGUCCUGAAUUCAUCAUUAAUGUAAAACGAUAUUAAAAUACCUUGAAAGAAGUACCGUAAUAUCAAUUUAUUUGAUAAUUUUGAUGAACACAAAGGCUUCAAACUAAACAAAUAAUGAACACAAAGUCAUGCCUCGUGAUAUCAUGAAUAUUGCUAUUCAAGAACCUCUCAGGCAUGAACUCGUCUGGAUUUUUCCAAUACUUCGGAUCUAUUAUUUGUCUUGGUACAAGCUGUGGAGCUGAAGGGUACAACCUCAAUGUCUCCUUAAUCACUACUUUCAAAUAGGGAAGUUUGGGCAUAUCACCUUCAUCUAAUUUACCCUUUUCACCUAUCAAAUUUCUGAUUUCUGCUUGUACUUUUUUCAUCACACUGGGUGCUUUUAUUAGUGCCUUCAUCGUCUAAACGAUUGAGAUAGUCGUCGUAUCAGUUGCACGAAUAAAAAUAUUCUGCAAGGAAAAAAAAGUCAUCAUAAACAGUCAUCAUCGUCAUUAAUUGGAAGGGGUUUUAAAUAACAUAAUUGUGUAUUUGAUUAGUGGAGAAGGGCCUCCACAAUUUACAAGAACAUCUGCGGAUGAGCUGUGUGAGGCCUCGUCUUCUCCUUGAACACACUUGAUAAGCUGCGUGUCUUCAUCUCGUCGACUGUCGGCAUCUUUGAGAAGGCACUUCAUCUCUUUGAGCUGGAUCUCGAGCUCCUUCACUUGGUCACCCACACCAGAUAAAAAUCUUGCUUCUUCCAACAACAAAUCGCGCAGGGUUUCUAGAGCAGUCGACACCACUGCUUCUGCCAUCGCAACAAUUCCAAACUCGAAUUUCUUUGGUCAAAUUGAUUUACUAUUGGUGAGAGUAUAUAUAGAGAGGAAUAAGGAUGAGGAACUCGUUGUGGUGAACACAAAUUCUUCAAUGGAGAUUGCAAAGAAUUUUUAUUCCGGAACAGAGAAAUUAGGACUUGGAGAGUUGUAUGAGAAAAGAGUGAAAGUAGUUUAGCUUCUGAGAAAGCACCAACUCAUUAUUGUGUUUCUACCUUGUCUUCUUCUUCUUCUUCAUUCAAUGAAAAGUAGUUAAAGUUCAAACUAAGAAAUCAAUAUUUAUCGCUUUAGUUGCUUUUCAGUGUGUCCUUUUGAUUUAAUAGUAUUUGUGCUCUUUACCUUUAUUAGUGGAGUGGUUGCACUACUUUUGAUUUUAAUAAUAUUUGUGCUCCUUACCUUUAGUGGAGUGGUCUGAGAAGAUAAUAAGAUGACAAUAAAAAUAGAAUUACAAAACAUAUAUUGUUAAUAUACGUGGGUUAAUAGUCCCUGAAUACACAAAAGUUUUACCAAAUUCUAAAAUUGCACGCCAUUUUUAAAAUCUGUUUCAUAAUACAUCACCUUUACUUAUUUUCUGAUUCUUCCCACGAUGAGUGUUUUCCCUAAAUGCGAAAUUGACGUGGCAUCAGUUGGAGCAUCAGUUGCUGCAUUUCUUGGUUUGCUUGCCUGCUUUUGGUUCUCUAGUAAAGGUUGAGUUUUUGUUUCAAUAAUGAUUUUAGCUAUUGGGUUGAUUAUGAUUAGUAGUUGGCUAAUGAGGUUAUAUUUUUGUCUAAAUUCAUUGUAUUGCAAUGUUAAGUUGCUUUACUUGGAAUUAUGCCUCAUUAUCUUAAAACCUUAUUACUUAAUAUUGGGGUUAUAUUAAUAGAGCAACAAGAUCAAUGAGAUAGGUUCCCGUGACAAUGGAAGAAGCCGGCCCUUGGAUGGGAUGAUGAGUUUUGGUAAUCCUUUUGAACCAGUGAUGUAUUUUCAAUUACAUACAUUUGUAUUCAUCAGUAAAAUCGCUGGCCCACUCCGGCGACGUCAGUAGAUAAAACGAUGAACUAUUUGUCCGGAAGGCCAUCAAUGAUCACCGACGACAGCAAAAAUUUGUUGGUAAAUUUUUUACUGAUUAUGUGGACACUGACCUCACCGUCGGUGUUCUGUCAUAUCUCACUUUGUCGAUCGAUCGAUUUUCACCGGGCAUCGUCGGUGUAGUAUAUUAAAUUUUUUUAAUUAGCAUUUGGUUUAUUUAAUUCUAUAACUACAGUAAACAUCUUUAAAAUUUAUCGAUAUAUUAAUAAAUUAUUAAUUUAUAGAUAAAAUUCUAAGGUCCCGAAGUUAUUAAUUUAUAGAAGUUUUAUUAUAAAUUUUUUAAAGAUCCAGCGAUCAUACUGAAUUUUCAAACAUAUACAUAUUAAGGUAUGAUAACAACAUAUACUCCCUUCGUCCUCAUAAAAUGUAUCCAAUUUGUCAUUUUCGUUCGUCCUCAUAAAAUGUAUCCGGUCUAUUUUUGGUAAGUUUUCUACUUACAUUAAAGUGGGACCCUUACAGUCCACUCACAAGUCACAACACAUUCAACUAAUUUAUUAAAAUCCGUGUCAUUUAGAGAGGAAUACUUUUUAUAUGGUUGGAGGAAGUACUUAAUUUGAUUGGGCUUUUGAGUUGGAUUUUAUAACAUGAAAUUGAAGUACUGUUGGGCCUCAUAAUUUGUGGGUUUAAUUUAUGUUUAUUGGAUCUUUUAAUUAAGGCGUGGAUCCAUUUCUUUCAUUAGUGGAUCUUUGCAAUUGGGCUGAUAUAUAGUCGGGCUUCGUUAAUAAUUACUUGAUCACUUAUUUAUAGUAGGAAAGAGUUUUCAAAGUAAAGAAAACGGUUGAGCUAAAUAUUCACCAAUCAUGAUUUUAAAUCCAUCAAAUCAAAGCACAACACUACCAUUAGUAUUAGUAUAUUCAUGCUAACCAACAUGAAUAUUCCUCAAUAUAAUAUUUAGACUUUGAGCUAAGAAUUACAUAUAUUCAUAUUAAGCAACCCAAUUUUCAAUUUAUUGGAUGCUAAACAUUAUCAAUACAUAUUUUUUUUUCUAAAUUUCUGAACUCUUAAAAAUAGUUGUUUUUAAAUAUUCCUCAAUAUAAUAUUUAAACUUUUAUUUGUUGCAGAUAAUAAAUCAAUAUUAAAUUAGAAUUCUGCCAAAAAUAAAUUAUAAAGACACUAGUCCAUAAAAUAACUUCCUCAUAGCAGUGGAAAGGGGUUUUAAGAAAUAUAAUUGUGUGUUUGGUAAGUGGAAAAGGCCCCCCACAAUUUAAAAAAAAGUUGAGAUAGUUAAUAAGUUUGUAUGGGUACAUUAUAUUAGUGACAAUAUGUAUAAAUAAAUGGGGAAUUUAAGAGUGAUGGUUAGUGAGAUUAUUAUCAAAAAUGGAGUAGAAAGAUGUUAUGCGAAUAGACGAAAAAGAAAAAAAAAUAGAAGUUAUUUAAUGGGCGGAGGGAGUACUUAAUAUACAUGUCGGAUGAUUCAACACAAUUAAUAAAAACUUUACAAGAUUAAAAAACUUCCACCGUCUCCUUUCUCGAUGCAACACAAGCAUUGUCUGUUGUUCAUGAUUUGCAUUACCUAUAAUAUCAACAUAUCUAAGAAUUUCUGGAAGAUCAUAGGAAUGUAUAUUUUUUUCUCAUGCUUUCUAAGAUAGUAAUAAACUUUUUCAAAGUUUUGUAAACUCACAAUUCAAUUGAAGUACUUAGUUUUGAAAUCUUUGGACAACGCAUCAAAGUAGGGAUCCUAAAAGAUUCUCACAUUUGUUGGGACACUAUAUACCAAGAUUAUACUAGCAAAUAACCUCUGCAAUUUAUUUGGCAUUUAAAAUGUUAUUACUUUAUUAAUAGACUCAAUAUUUCUUGAGUCAGGGGUGGAAUAAAACUGUGCAGAAUCAUCAAAAUCAAACAGAUCAUGGCUGACAAGCUUUCGUUGUCGUGUAUUUUUGUUGAGAAAUUUCUCAGAUUCUUCAUUUUGUUCAUACAUUUUAAUUCAUGCACUCUACUAUCCAACCCCAACAGACUCUCCAACUCAACCACUCCCUCGUCCAAUGUUAAUCGAUAACUUCCAAUUUUUUUCUCAUCAUAAUUGGGAAGAGCCAAGUGUUUUAAACGUAGCAUCUCCUUAAAAACGUUAGGAACUUCAAUAUUUCUCGAACAACUUAAAUGAAGGGUAUCCAUGUAUACCAAAUUCCUUAUGGACGACGGUAGCUUAUCAAAUUCACAUCUUGCUAAACGCAAACAUCUAAGGUGAACAAGAUUAGUGAUUCCUUUCGGUAACUUCCUUCCUGAAAAUUUGAAUCCUUCCAUAACUAGAUCUCUAAGUAAUUUGAAUUUCUGAAAAUCAAAGAUACUUUGCAGGGGAAACUCAACAGCAACACGCAAACUGAAGUGAUUGAAUAUUUGAAGAGACCUUAGUGUUUGCUAGCAUCUUCUCCAAGCCCGUCAGGUUCCAGUUCGACUUCUCUUCUGAAAUGGAUAGCCAAAUGUCGUAUUUUCAUAUGUUAGGAAGCUUCACUUAAUAAGGUAUUAAGUUUUCCAGUUUGAUACUUCAAACUCAGCACACCAAAAUCCUCCAUUUUCCCCAAUUUCAAACAUACUUCUCUUACUACAUCAUGAAGUUUGCAGCUCAAAUAUUUUAUUGUAGGUGUGACACCAUCGUAAAUUUCGACUUGGACUAUGGACAUGGAGACCAACUCACCCAAGUAGAACUCCGCAAUUUCAAUCAAUGUUUUGUCCUUGUUUCGAACAUUCUCAUAUGAGAUCAUGCCUUGUGCUAUCCAUCAACUAUAUAGAUCGUCAACAUCUAUAUCUUCAUCCUCUUCAAAUAAACCCAUAUAGAGAAAGUAAGGCUUCAAAUAAUAGGGUAGACUUUCAUAGCUUAAAUUUAGCACUCCAUCAAUCUCACUUUCAUCUCUAUAUAUGUGUUUUUUGAUAUCCUUAUUUACCAACUCCCAUUCCAUCAUCGAAUUUUUCUUCCUCAAGACCCCACCGAGUAAACAAAUUGUUAACGGCAAAUACCCACAUUUCUGCACCAUUUCUUUCCCAAUUUUCUCAAAAAACUUUGCCUCUUCCAACAACAAAUCACGCAAGGUUUCUAGAGCAGUCGACACCACUGCUUCUGCCAUUGCAAUGAUUUGGGGGAAGCUCAGAUAUCUUUGGUCUAAUUGAUUGGUGUAACACUCUUGAUUUGCUAAUUUGGUGGUGAGAGGGAAGUUAAUUAGAAAAGAUAAGGAAGUUGUGGAGCUGCUGCCUUCGCCAGUAGUCAAUAGUCAAUACAUGUUAAAUAUGUGUAAAUAGUUAGAAUAUGUGUAUAAAUAUGUUAAAUAUGUGUAUAGGAAAAGGUUCUAAUAAAAACCUCUGUUAAAAUGAGAACUAGGAACCUAAUCUUGACCUUUUAAAUAUUAGAUCUAAUGGUGAUGAUUUAGUCAACAAAAGAAACUGUGCAUCUAUUAUAUUUUACUGUGCACUUAAAAAAUAUGCAAUUUAUGCAAUUGAAACCAACAAUGCAAAAUACUCAAGCAAAUCGAAAUUGUGCAUCUAUGCAAUUGAAACUGUGCAUCUAUGCAACCGAAAUUGUGCAUAUGUAGUUUAAUCUCAGCCCUCUAUUUUAUUUAAAUCAAUGGCUUUAAAUUGGUUCCUAGUUUUCAUCUUAAGAGGGGUUUCUAUGUUAACCCUACCCUAUGUGUAUAAAUAUGUUAAAUAUGUGUAAAUAGUUGUCGUUACACCAAAAAUGUCAGCACACUACUUUUAGUAAAUAGUUAGAAUAUGUGUAUAAAAUGAAGAAAUUGAUCUUAUUAAGAGCAAACGCAUGAUAAAUGAGGAAGACCCUCCACAAAAGCGGGAGGUUCAUUUAUCCCAAACUUCCACAUUAGAAAAAUCACAAGCAUAUAUAUUAAACUGAAUCUCUCACCAACACACAACAACUCACUUGAUGUUAAAAUGGAUCAUCAAUAUUCUCGACUAUAUUUAAUUUCUCGACAUCAUGAUAUUAUGCGAUUUUUUUUUUCAAAUGGGUUAAAUUUGCAUACGAGUUAAUCAGAUUGGGCUUUUGAUUUCGGUUUUAUAACAUGAAAUUGAUGUGUUGUUGGGCCUGAUAGUUUACGGGCUGAAUUUCUGUUUGUUGGGUCUUUUUAAUUAAGGUAUGGAUCAAUUUCUUUCAACGUGGAUCGAAGAUGAAAGAGAUAAGGUUUUAAAGAAAGAAAACAGAGAAAGAAAUUGGGUUGGGCUCAUAUUUGUUAUUGGGCUGAUAAGUGGUUGGGCUUCAACCACGAGAACACGACGAAUCGAAAUAGAAACAAAAUGGAAAUCACACGCACUCGAAAUUACGUGGUUCGAUCCAGAAUGGAUCUUCGUACAUAGGGGUGUUCGCGGUUUGGUUUAAUGCGGUUUGGCAUCAAAACCAAACCAAUUAAACCAUAAAAUACGGUUUUAUAAUAUUUUGAAACCAAACCAAACUGUAUUAAUAUUAAAACCAAACCAAACCAAACUGUAUUAAUGCAGUUUGAUGCGGUUUGGUUUGCGAUUUAUUUAUAUUUUUUAUUUUUCUAUUUUAGAGUAAUAAAAAAUCAAACAUCUAAGGUCUUCAAAAUUAAUAAAAAUAAAAUAACAUUGAAGAAAAUGAUUAAAAAAAAAAAGCUAGUACAUACUAAAAAGACAUUUAAUAUGCAUCAAAACUAAAUCUUAAGCAUGUCUUUUCUCCAUAUUAUUCAUGUUUAUCGAGGUUCUAGCAUCCAUCUAAACAAAUAAAUUAGGGGUUAAGAAUUAAGUUUAAGAAAAGUAAGCUUAUUGUGUGAUGAUAUGUAAUUAAAGACUUUAACGGAUAGAAUAUUAUAUAAUUUUAUUAAACUUUCAAAAUAUACUUGAAUAAUAAUAAUAAUAAUAAUAAUAAUAAUUGGUUUAAAUAUAUUAGUACGUUUUACGGUUUGGUCUAUAAUUUUAAAAAACUAAACCUAAACCAUAAACCAUAUUUUUGCAAAAAUAUAAACCAAACCAUAUUUUUCAAACCGUAAACAAAACCAAACCACAUAAAUACGGUUUGGUUUGAUUUGAUUUACGGUUUAAAUCAAAUUAUGAACACCCCUAUUCGUAUACGGGUGGUGGACGUCGUAUACGACCAAAUAAUUCCUACAAUUUCUACUAAGAAUAUGUUAGCUUUAUCAUUAAUCAGCCGUAUUCCAACAAUUACGGAUUUGAGGAACCAAUUGACUUUAAUCCAAUUAAAUCUUAAGUUGAUCAGACUUAAAUAAAAUCGGAAUUAACUCUAAACGUAAGGAAUAAAUCGAAAUCAAUAGAAAUCAAUUAUAUGAACAAUUAAGUCUCACAGAUAUUAAAUCAGUAUUUCAUUAUUCUCAUCUAAUUAAGAAUUUAACUACUUGUAAUUAAACUAUAAACAAUCAAAUAAAUUAAAGCAAACAUGAAAUAAGCAAAUACGAAACUAACGAAAUAAACUAAAUUAAAAAGUAAACUAAUCUUCAAGGAAACAUUUCAUCUCUUUGAGCUGGAUCUCGAGCUCCCUCACUUGGUCACCCACACCAUAUAAAAACCUUGCUUCUUCCACCAACAAAUAGCGCAAGGUUUCUAGAGCAGUCGACACCACUGCUUCUGCCAUCGCAAUAAUUCNUCAGAUUGGGCAUUUGAUUAAAAUAUUAAACAAAACGGUCGUUAAUAUUAAAAUUUCGGUCGUUACGGCCGCCUUUUUAACGACCGAAAUUUUCGGUCGUUAAUUUCGGUCGUUGGAGUCGCUGUUUCUUGUAGUGAUUUCGGUUUUAUUACAUGAAAUUGAUGUGUUGUUGGGCCUGAUAGUUCACGGGCUGAAUUUCUGUUUGUUGGGUCUUUUAAUUAAGGUAUGGAUCCAUUUCUUUCAAAGUGGAUCGAAGAUGAAAGAGAUAAGGUUUGAAAGAAAGAAAACAGAGAAAGAAAUUGGGUUGGGCUCAUAUUUGUAAUUGGGCUGAUAAGUGGUUGGGCUUCAACCCCGAGAACACGACGAAUCGAAAUAGAAACAAAAUGGAAAUCACACGUACUCGAAAUUACGUGGUUCCAUCCAGAAUGGAUCUUCGUACAUAGGGGUGUUCGCGGUUUGGUUUGAUGCGGUUUGGCAUCAAAACCAAACCAAUUAAACCAUAAAAUACGGUUUUAUAAUAUUUUGAAACCAAACCAAACUGUAUUAAUAUUAAAACCAAACCAAACCAAACUGUAUUAAUGCAGUUUGAUGCGGUUUGGUUUGCGAUUUAUUUAUAUUUUUUAUUUUUUAUUUUUAUAUUUUAGAGUAAUAAAAAAUCAAACAUCUAAGGUCUUCAAAAUUAAUAAAAAUAAAAUAACAUUGAAGAAAAUGAUAAAAAAAAAAAAAAAGUUAGUACAUACUAAAAAGACAUUUAAUAUGCAUGAAAACUAAAUCUUAAGCAUGUCUUUUCUCCAUAUUAUUCAUGUUUGUCGAGAUUCUAGCAUCCAUCCAAACAAAUAAAUUAGUGAUUAAGAAUUAAGUUUAAGAAAAGUAAGCUUAUUGUGUGAUGAUAUGUAAUUAAAGACUUUAACGGAUAGGAAUAUUAUAUAAUUUUAUUAAACUUUCAAAAUAUACUUGAAUAAUAAUAAUAAUAAUAAUAAUAAUAAUAAUAAUAAUAAUAAUAAUAAUAAUAAUAAUAAUAAUAAUAAUUGGUUUAAUAUAUUACGGUUUACGGUUUGGCUUGAUCUAUAAUUUUAAAAAAUCAAACCUAAACCAUAAACCAUAUUUUUGCAAAAAUAUAAACCAAAUCAUAUUUUUCAAACCGUAAACCAAACCAAACCAAACCAAACCACAUAAAUACGGUUUGGUUUGAUUUGGUUUACGGUUUAAAUCAAAUUGUGAACACUCCUAUUCGUACACGGGUGGUGGACGUCGUAUACCACCAAAUAAUUCCUAUAAUUCCUACUACGAACAUGGUAGUUUCAUCACUAAUCAGCCAUAUUUCAACAAUUACGGAUUUGAGGAACCAAUUAACUUUAAUCCAAUUAAAUCUUAAGUUGAUCAGGCUUAAAUAAAAUCGGAAUUAACUCUAAACAUAAGGAAUAAAUCGAAAUCAAUAGAAAUCAAUUAUAUGAACAAUUAAGUCUCACAAAUAUUAAAUCAGUAUUUCAUUAUUCUCAUCUAAUUAAGAAUUUAACUACUUAUAAUUAAACUAUAAACAAUCAAAUAAAUUAAAGCAAACAUGAAAUAAGCAAAUACGAAACUAACGAAAUAAACUAAAUUAAAAAGUAAACUAAUCUUCAAGGAAACAUUUCAUCUCUUUGAGCUGGAUCUCGAGCUCCCUCACUUGGUCACCCACACCAUAUAAAAACCUUGCUUCUUCCACCAACAAAUCGCGCAAGGUUUCUAGAGCAGUCGACACCACUGCUUCUGCCAUCGCAACAAUUCCAGACUCGAUCGAUCGAUUUAGUAUUGGUGAGAGUAUAUAGAGAGAGGAAUAAGGAUAUGGAACUCGUUGUGGUGAAUACAAAUUCUUCAAUCGAGAUUGCGAAGAAUUUGGAUUGUGAAACAGAGUAUUUCCUCUAUGAGAAAAGAGUAACUUUGUGAGAAAGCACAUAAUCUUGAUUAUUUCCUCUUGUUUUGUUUAGCAGGGACCACCUGGUGUAUUUUAUUAAAUUAUUCAUUCAAUAAUUAAUUCAACCUUGUCAUAAGCGAAUAUGCAUUAAAAAUACUUAUUCAGACCAUUUCUCAACAUUAGCAAGAUGUUCGUUUUGUGAAUUUAUAAAAACCAAAUCGAGCAAUUAUAUAUAAAAACCGAACAUGAAUGUCAAUCGUGAUUUUAAAUCCAUCAAUUCAAACCAUAACACUACCAUUAGUAUAGUAUAUUCAUAUUAAGCAACCCAGUUUUCAAUUUAUUGGAUUCUAAACAACCAAGCUACAAAAAUCACAAUUCAACAACUGAAAUAAAGCUUAAAUCUCCAGAAAUUAUAUACAAAGGCUCAUGGACUGAAUCUUACCAAAAUAACUCCAUAUGGAACUAAGCAAGUCUAAAAUAAAUUGUCUACAAUCAACCAGAUAAAUAAUACAAAAGAAAUAUACACAUUUAUUUAUAAAGAAAUAUACACAUUAAAGAGAAACAAGGUUGCAGAGAAAAGAAUGCAAAUAAUUAGAGAGAAAUACUUGGGACGUGGAACGACAAGACUGUAGCUCGAAGGGGGCCGGGGGAGAAAAGUACUCUGCAACCAAAAUCAAGACGAUACAAGUUUAGAAUGCGUCGAGCUUUAUAGUUAAAACCAUAUCGAGAUACCUGAUCUUUUAGAGAAAAACUGAAAUUGAAGCAACAGAAUUGGGAAUUGAGAAUGAGAUUAAUUGGUGCAAGCAUUACCCGGGUGGAGACUAGAUUAGUUAGUCAUCAUCAAUAGUCUCGGAUGAUAAUUGAAGGGACAUGGGUGACUUUGUGGAAAUCCUCUCCUGAUGCCGAUACCCUCUUCCCCAUUUCCGCCAUUCCAUAGAUAUGCAGUUCCCGAAGAGUAUAAAUGCCACUCAAUCCAUCUGGAAGCAUCUCCAGAUUAGGACACACACAUAUCUCUAAAUGAGUGAGAAGGGGCAUGGCUCCUGCCUCCACUCUCCACUCCCUCAACUUUGGUAACUCGUCUAGCCAAAGCCUCUUGAGGCAAGGAAAACUGUUUGAUGGACACGUCAUCUCCUCCCCCACAAAUGAUUUCCUCUCUAAAGACAAAGCUGCUAAGCAAGGAAGCUUCCCCAGUAUUCCCAUUGGAUCAUCCUCAAGCUCACAUUCUAACAGGGACAAACUAACAAGUAUAGAGCUGAUAAAAUCACGCUCGCACUCUGCCAGCGCCUUCCCUAACUUAACUCCAAUCGACAAGAUAUAAAGAUUGGGACAUGUGAAUGCCUUGUUCAACACUCCCUCAUUUGUUCCUAACUCGCAACCCUUUUCGAUUUUAACCUCACUAUACACUAACUCGUCCAAGAUAGCAAUGCCAUCGAUCAUCGCUGACAAGCUUUUGUGGUCGUGUAUACUUGUUGAGAAUCUUCGCAGAUACUUCAUUUUGUUCAGACAUUUUAAUUCAUACACUCUAGUAUCCAACCCCAUUAGACUCUCCAACUCAACCACUUCCUCGUCCAAUGUUAAUCGAUUACUUCCAAUAUUUUCCUCAUCAUACAUCGGAAGAAGCAAGUGCUUCAAACGUAGCAUCUCCUUAAAAACAUUUGGAACUUCAACAUUCCUCGAAUGAUUUAAAUCAAGGGUAUCCAUGUAUACCAAAUUUCUUAUGGACGUCGGUAGCUUAUCAAAUUCACAUCUUUCUAAACGCAAACAUCUAAGGUGAACAAGAUUAGUGAUUCCUUUUGGUAACUUUCUUCCUGCAAAUGCAAAUCCCACCAUAACUAGAUCCUUGAGCAAUUUGAAUUUAUGAAAAUCAACGAUGCUUGGUGGGGGAAACUCACCAGAAUUACUACUGCGAUUGAACAUUUAAGAGACCUUAAAUGUU
rnacentral:lncRNA from 1 species